AAGGUGAAGAAAAGGCAGCAUCGAAGCGAAGCGAUAACUGGCCUCCUGCUGGGUGGAAGGAUACCUUGUUGCCUUUUAGUUUUAGGCGCUUUUAUUUUUGUUAUUUUACUUAUUUCUUUUAUAUUAAUGUUUUGUAAAUUGUAAGUAAUGGUUCAAUUUACUAUUUUAUACUGUAUUUGUAUAUAAAUGUAUAUUGUUUUUCUUUUUUAUAUUUUUGGUGGAUAGAUGGAGAUAAUGGUCUCUGCAAGCAGACAUUUCUCCAACCAUAUUCUUCUCAUCUCUUACUCACAGAUUCUGCUUUCACAGUGCUCAUGAAUCCAGUCUUUUCUGCUUCCUUCUCUUCCUGCCCUCCUUCUUCUUCUCUUGCUUGCUUGCCUCGAUCUCACUUCCAGCUUUUAGUCAAGAGUCAAUAUUUGCCCUCCACAUGCUUGAUUUUCUUCCUUUUUGAUUUCAGGAAUUUAAGGACCAAAGCCAGAGACUAGAUUUUCUUCAAAGAUUCUUCUUUGUUGGGUUUUGUUUUGUUUAUGUUUGUACCACUUUGGUGUUCCUUGUCAAUCGUUUUUCUCGUUCUGGGGUUUUAGCUGACAGUUGACACGAUACUUUCGACUCUGUAGAACUACAAAUUGUAGUUAGGCUAUUAAGAGUCAUUAAUUCUUCUUUUAUGGAUGCAGUAGAGAGGUUUAGAUUAGUGAUCUAACUAGCUGGUGCCUGGUGGGUCUUUGCUGCUUUCCUGUAAAUUUGCUACUUCUCUUCUGGAUUCCGGAUUUUAAAGUUGUUAUUAGCAGCGAUAUAAUAUUAGUCUUAGCUGGUGCCUGGUGGCGAUCUUGGUAACGGGUGUUUUCUCUGUCUUCUUCUUCUUCUUCUUUUUUUUUUUUUCCAAUUUCGGACUCGGAGUUCCUUUUCUGGUUAGUUAUUUUUGGAUGUUAUUGGUUUCUGAUUUUGAGGAUAACGAAGGCAGUUUUAGCAGAAUUGAUGGUGGACUUUGUUUUCCUAGAAAGUAGAAACUAGCCAGCAGGGGGGGGGGGAUAAUUUCUCCUGUCAUCAUUUAUGGUUGUUUUGUCUCGGCUUCUGUCGUGUAUGAGUUAUUUCCAUGUAUUUGGGUUUGAUUUGAAGGUAGGGCAUCUGGUUUUGAUGCUAUGUUGUUGUAUGUUGUCUGAGAUACCCAUGAACUGGUUCAUUAAUGGUGGACUAAUGGAGAAGAAGAUUAGCUUUCUUCGUGAUAGAGGUAAGAUAUGGCUCAGCUGGUGGGAGAAAAUCCCUGCAAGUGGUCGGAAGAUCCAUCACCACUACUACCAGUAUAUUGGGUCCAAGAAGGUCCGCGAAAAAUCAUGGUGGAGGAAGAUUUUGAUUGCCUGGGUAGUCAGUUGGGUCUUUGGGUCGGUCUGGAUCUUCUUGUAUAUGAGCUCUCAGGCGACUGAGAAGAGGAAAGAGACCCUCGCCAGUAUGUGUGACGAGCGGGCCAGAAUGCUGCAAGACCAGUUUAACGUGAGUAUGAACCAUGUUCAGGCUUUAGCGAUCCUGAUUUCAACCUUCCACCAUGGCAAGAAUCCAUCUGCUAUUGAUCAGGCAACUUUUGCAAAGUACACAGAAAGGACUGCUUUCGAAAGGCCACUUACAAGUGGCGUGGCUUAUGCCGUUAGGGUUCUCCAUUCGGAAAGGGAACAAUUCGAGAAACAACAAGGUUGGACCAUUAAAAGAAUGGAUACACUUGAACCAUCCCCAGUUCAGGAGGAUGACAAUGCCUUCGAGCCCCAGGAGCCAUCCCCCAUUCAAGAAGAAUAUGCCCCAGUUAUCUUUGCACAGGAUACCAUUUCCCAUGUGGUUUCUCUGGAUAUGAUGUCAGGGAAGGAAGAUCGGGAGAAUGUCUUACGUGCAAGAGUAUCAGGAAAGGGGGUCCUUACUGCUCCCUUCAGACUACUUAAAUCAAACCGUUUAGGGGUGAUAUUGACAUUUGCUGUUUAUAAGUCGGAAAUCCCAUCAAAUGCAACCCCAAACGAGCGCAUCCAAGCAACACAUGGGUACUUAGGUGGAGUCUUUGACAUUGAAUCGCUUGUGGAGAAGUUGCUUCACCAGCUUGCAAGUAAACAAACUAUCAUUGUAAAUGUGUAUGAUACAACUAAUCUUUCAGAUCCAAUUAGCAUGUAUGGUCCAAAUACAACCGAUAAUGGGAUGUACCAUGUAAGCACCCUUAACUUUGGUGACCCAUUUAGGCAGCAUGAGAUGCGUUGCAGAUUUAAGCAAAAGCCACCAUGGCCAUGGAUGGCAAUAACAACCUCAAUUGGUGUCCUUGUGAUUGCAUUGCUUGUUGGGCACAUAUUCCAUGCUACAGUAAAUCGGAUUGCCAAAGUUGAAGAUGAUUAUCGUGAGAUGAUGGAACUCAAGAAAAGGGCUGAGGCAGCAGAUGUUGCAAAAUCGCAGUUCCUUGCUACUGUUUCCCAUGAGAUUAGAACCCCAAUGAAUGGUGUCCUAGGUAUGCUGCAGAUGCUCAUGGACACAGAUCUAGAUAUUACACAACAAGAUUAUGUCAGAACUGCCCAAGCCAGUGGUAAAGCUCUGGUUUCACUUAUAAAUGAAGUUUUAGAUCAAGCCAAGAUUGAAUCUGGUAAGCUUGAGCUUGAGGCUGUCCAAUUUGAUUUGCGUGCAAUUCUGGAUGAUGUUUUGUCACUCUUUUCUGGAAAGUCUCAAGAAAAGGGAAUAGAGUUGGCAGUCUACAUCUCUGAUCGGGUUCCUGAAAGUCUAAUUGGUGAUCCUGGAAGAUUUCGGCAAAUCAUCACCAAUCUCAUGGGCAAUUCAAUCAAAUUCACAGAGAAAGGGCAUGUUUUUGUGACUGUCCAUCUUGUUGAGGAGGUAAUGGGAUCAAUAGAAGUUGAGACAGAAACUUCACCAAAGAACACCUUGAGUGGAUUUCCUGUGUCUGAUAAACGCCGUAGCUGGGAGGCUUUCAAGGCAUUCAGUGAAGAGAAACCUUCAUGUUCUCAGAUUCCACUGUCUACCUCCUCUGAAACCAUCAACCUAAUUGUAUCUGUUGAGGACACAGGCGUGGGGAUCCCUCGUGAAGCCCAAUCUCGUGUUUUCACUCCCUUUAUGCAGGUGCACACAUCCACUUCACGUACUCAUGGGGGUACAGGUAUUGGACUGAGUAUAAGCAAAUGUUUGGUUGGUCUUAUGAAGGGGGAGAUAGGAUUUGUCAGUGAACCACAAAUUGGAUCCACCUUUACUUUCACUGCUGUCUUCACCAAUGGUCAUUUCAACUCAAACAAGUACAAGAAACAGCAAAUUAAUAACCACUCCAAAUCUGUUUCUUCAGAAUUUGAGGGGAUGAAAGCAUUGGUUGUGGACCCCAGACCCAUCCGGGCAAAGGUGACAAUAUAUCAUCUCCAACGUCUUGGAAUCCAUGUGGAAGUGGCUUCUGAUCUGAAUCAAGGUCUCACUAGUUUAAGCAGUGGGACUGCAGUUAUCACGAUGGUCCUUGUUGAGAAAGAAGCUUGGGAUAAGGAUAUUGACCUCUCAAGUCUUUUAAUUAACAAAUUGAGGAAGAAUGACAAAGUGGAUUAUCCAAAGUUGUUUCUUCUAGCUAAUUCCAUCAGCUCUACAAAAACUAGUGCUCCAAAAUCCAUUGGGUAUACACCGAAUGUCAUCAUGAAGCCACUGAGGGUCAGUAUGCUGGCUGCCUCUUUGCAGCGAGCCUUGGGUGUGGGGAACAAGGGAAAUUGCCUAAAUGGAGGUCUCCCUGUUCUUUCUCUUCGCAAUCUUCUUUGUGGCAAACAUAUCUUGGUAGUAGAUGACAAUAAUGUGAACCUCAGAGUUGCAGCUCAUGCUUUGAAGAAGUAUGGAGCUGAGGUGGCCUGUGCUGACAGUGGGAAAAAGGCAAUUGCAAUGCUUAAGCCACCCCAUAAUUUUGAUGCCUGCUUCAUGGAUAUUCAGAUGCCAGAAAUGGAUGGGUUUGAAGCUACAAGAAUAAUUCGGGAUAUGGAACAUGACAUCAAUGGUCGUAUCCAACAUGGAAAAGUACCCAAAGAAGCUUACAGAAAUAUUUCAAACUGGCAUAUACCCAUACUGGCCAUGACAGCAGACGUUAUCCAGGCUACACAUGAAGAGUGCUUGAGGUGUGGUAUGGAUGGUUAUGUGUCAAAACCAUUUGAAGGAGAACAACUUUACCAAGAAGUGUCACGUUUUUUCAAAUCCAAUUCAUUGUGUGCCCAUUAAAGAGCACUUAAGAGAAGGCUGAUGAGGAUAUUUGCACAAGCAGUCAUUCUUCAGAACUUGUUGGGACUUGAAUGCCUAAGCAGUUGUUUCAAGAGGAAAAAAGAAAUAUCCAGUUGUUAACUGUGAGUGUAUCUAUGCGUCCCUUCCAUCCUGGGUUUGGAACCGGUGAACCUGCAAUCUAUCUUGCAAGCAGAGCAUAAGAGAUUCUUGUGUUGACUUGAAUCAGCUUAGGUGGCUUGAGUUUAAAGUCUGAGGACCUCCUCAAAGACUACACAUCUUUUGUUCACAUUCACAGUUACAACUCUUGAAUGUCGGCAAUGCACCCUGUGAACUUGGGUGUGUCAUGAGAAUUGUACAGUGGACACAAGCACUUCUACCCCAUGUAAGAGUGAAAUUGGGGUGAAGAGGAUAUAACUAAUUCUUUUUGUUUUCCCUCUAAGAAUCAGGGAUGUAUUAUAGUUUAAUUCAGUACAGGUAAGACAAUACAUGUAUUUCUUUUUCAAUUCCUGGCAAAACAAGAAGGAUGAAUCAACAUGUAUCAUACGUCCAAUGCAAUAAAGAUAUCAGGAUUAAACUGUUCACUUA